rfam:Globodera pallida, Lindley, WGS project CBXT01000000 data, contig: pathogens_Gpal_scaffold_4215_contig_1
GCCUGCGUAGCUCAGUGGCUAGAGCAUUCCCCGGAUAGGAAAGGUCGUGGGUUCGAGUCCCUCCGCGGCA